AUGGACCAUGCCGCCGUGACCGGAUGGGCCGUUCUCCUCCUCCCUUCUUCCUCACAUGCGAGCAUGCGCAACUCACAUGUCGCUCACUUCUCUGUUGAGGAGUGCAGUUCAUCGGUGGGGCAGUCUGGCUGGCGGCCAUGUGUUGUUCUUGCUCCUACCUCGGAUCCAAUUCUCCAUGACAUCCAUAGAAGGAAAAAGAAUCUCAUCUCCAAAGUGUUCAGUGCAGAGAAGAUGAACCAUGCAAAAACUCAAGGUGGAUCAUGGUGGCUUCACUGCUGGCGGAACGACAGAGGGUUUGAAUGCUACCAGGGUGAUUCAAAGGGAGUAUAUAGGUUAGACGAGCCGCUGACAAAGACAGGCCUCUAUUCUAAAUUUUUACUUGCAAAGAUGGACCAUCAGCUACAUAAUAUGUUGGCUAAACUCUCACAGGUUUGGAGUCGACCAAGGAAGUCACAGUUUAAGAGCUCGAGGAGGAGGGGCGUGUGGAGGUUCCCGCCGCCAGUGGCUGCACUGCUGGUCUUCGUCGCCUGCUCCUGUCAGAUCCAGCAUGACCUACCCUAUCGAUUCUCCGUCGCUUCACUCUGCUUCAUGUGCAUAUGUGCAGAGAAGAUGACGACCCUGCCCCUGUUCUUCGCCAGCCACACUCUCCCUUAUGCGUUCUUGCCUGCGGGCAAGUUUUUGUAUGUUCAUCUAAUAAUGGAAAAGAUUCAAACCUUCAAUUUUGUAGGAACGAUUUUAUUGCUCGAGUAA
rnacentral:rRNA from 1 species